UGAACCAGUAGUUGUACAGUAUAAUUUUAAUUGCGCAGGACUAAAAGUGGUUGCUAGAUUUAAGCGGUUUGUUGUCUGCGGGAUGUCCCGGAAUGAAAUUGACCGGAAUGGAAUUUGAUUUAGUCUAUGGAGGUGCGGAACGGGAAAAUGCUGCCCUUUCAUAAUCUCUUAAACGGAGGGGAUUUACUGUCGAGUUUCGACUAAUCCAUUGAAGAGACUGCAUGUCUCGUUUCGCGACAUCGUUUUCUUGUGAUGUUUUGGUCAACAGUUUGUGACAUUGUUGCAGCGCUAACGUUCGAGUCUCCAGCGCGGUCACAGGUAAACUGGCGCCAAGGGUUAAAGAAGAAUAACUGAUCAUAUUCAUCUUCGAACUAUUCACCAUGUUUCUGCAACUGUACAGAGACCGUCGGUUUGUCGUUGUACAGUCAGUCUGAAUGCUAUCAAAUAGCCGAGGGGAGAUGCGGGCUGAUGUGGAGUACAGCCCGGUCGGCGAGGGCCUGGGGAUGAGCGAGUUCUGGCUCCAUGUGUGGAUGCGGAGGGUCGCCGUGAUCGCUGCCCAUGUUAUUGCCUUUGGUCUCACUGUGCUGAUUUCACUACUGUCUGGAACAAGUCUCUUUUCCUGGCAUCCUGUUUGUAUGUCUAGUGCAGAAUCAAACCCACAACCCUGGCUGUGGAAGUGCCAUGCUCUUGCCAACCCACUACCACUCCAGGCACCACCACCACUGGACACAGAUAUACAUACUAGGUAUCUUGAAAGAUUAUAACCUGGCACUCAGUCUUACACAAGUACAUAUACAAUCAACUAACUGGAGACAAAGUUUGUUGUGCUGACACACCUAUAAACACCUGGGUGUGGCCAUUGUAUCCUGAUGACCUUGUAUGGGACCAGCCCUGAGAGGCUUAUGAAAGCGGACCACUACUGGGACAGAGCAGAUGUAACUGAAGUCGUCUCCUUUGCUUCGUCUGUUUCUCUAGAUGCUCUGAGACACUACUGUAUCUGGAUGGUUUAAGGGAAUACAGUACCUACUUUACUGUGUAUCAACCUGAAUGUGUGGUUGUGAGCAGAGCAGCUAUGUGGAUGUGUAUUUUACCAACCAUUUUUUCAGGGGUCGGCAACUAGAUUGAGCCACGGAAUGUUUUUUUGUCAGAGCAAAUUGUCAGGGGGCCGGAACAUAAUUAUGUAAAUUUGCACAUAACAAGUGACCACUAACCACUGAUCCAGCAGUAGAUAUUUUCUCAGCCCCCUGUUAGCAUUAAUAUCAGGUAGGGGAAAUCUAAUCAUAUAUAGAUCUGUGUUUGACGGAUGUCAUAAGGUGAAUGCACCAAUUUGUAAGUCGCUCUGGAUAAGAGCGUCUGCUAAAUGACUUAAAUGUAAUGUAAAUGUGACGGCAACAUCGACCCCAAGUGUGUUCAUUGAACAAGGUGAGUAUAUAUUAAUGGUCAGUAAUUUGGGUUCGUUUUAAGGAGGCACAUACCUCCUCAGUCAAGCGUGUAUAUACACCAGACUGACUAACGCUGCGCUAUGAUUCCGUCUAGUGAACCAUUAAUGUAAGCUUGCUGCAAUAGACAACUAAGGUUGCUGUGAACCUGCUGAUGUGUUGUGUCUCAAUAAAAACCUUGA